AUUCAGCUGACGAGUCCUAAAUGGAACGAAACCUACUUUCUGGAU
rfam:Schistosoma mansoni strain Puerto Rico chromosome 7, complete genome